rnacentral:miRNA from 2 species
UGACUCCAGAGGGCUUUGGAUC